GUUUGUUGUCCAAGGGGCACGCACCGUGGUCAGGCCAGCACCUCAUCUUUUCUGCAAACCACUUUCUCCUAUUUUCAGAACAGUAUUAUUCAGUUUAUGUGGUUCAGGGAGGUCACAUGACUCAGCCUUGUCCUAUCAGAGGACUCAAUCCUGCUGGCCACAUUGAUUGGUCCAGGAAUGGAUAUAUCCUAAGAAUGGGCCAAUCACUACUUUCCGUGAGUCUUUUCUCAGAGGUUGUGGGAAAGAUGCUUUCUCCUAAGCUGGUAUUGAGGGCUGUGUGUAGUACACAGGCUUGAGACUGUGAACUGCCAUCUUGUGUCCACCUGGAUAAAGCUUGUCUGAUAAUAAAGCAAAGUGGAGCUGAGGAAUAAAGAGAGAGACAUACAGAGGACCCUGAUGACAUUAUUUGAACCUAGAUACAGCUAAGUCUGAAGCUAGUUGUCCGGAGUUGGUGGGUUCUUGGUCUCACUGACUUCACGAAUGAAGCUGCGGACCCUCACGAUGUCUGCUCACUAAGUUGGUUCGAAGCUGAGGAGGAAAAAAAUUAGGUGCUAGGAUGCUGGAGAGAUCCUCAGAAACCCCUCUACAUGAAUCAUUUAAGUAGAUGAAGAGCUAGAUUGCAAUAAUCAUUGGGAGGAGAAGAAGAAUAAAACAUGAGAUUCCAGUCACAUCCCAGAAUUAAAGGUACUGUCGUGAUGCCCAUUUUACAGAUGAAGAAACUGAGGUUUCCAGAGGUCCGGUCCCUGCCUGAGCUAAUGCAGUUACGAAGGCUGAAGCCCGGACUUGAUUUGAGUUCGGCCUGCAGAGCCCCGGCUGAGCUACCUGCCUUCUAGCCCCACGGUGGAAAGGGAGAAUCCAGACAUCCUUGAGACCUACCCAAGGAGUUUCCCUGUUACUGCUCUGCCAUCCUUCUGAUGCCACCCUGUUCCGUAUCUGGCUGGAGCCAGCGUGGUUGUGUCUGGGUUUGGCUCCAUAGCAGAUGUUCUCGGUGGCCUUACUAUUCCUGUGCACGCCGGCCACUUUUGCCUGAAGCUCUCUGUGGCUGCCAAUGCCCACUUUGUUGAAAGUACUUGGAAAUUAAGACCCUCUAGGGAGUAUCUCUGAGUUGUGCCUGGUGAGAUUUCAUGAAGGAAUGGCCCAGCUCCUGCAGACCUAGGCGGGAUGUCUGAGGUGCACCUUCUACACGCUCUUUCAGUUGGAUUAAGUCCUAGGAUGCCCACAGGAGUCACUGAGAGGUUAACAAACAUUUUUUUUUUUUUUUUUGAGAUGGAGUCUUGCUCUGUCACCCAGGCUGGAGUGCAGUGGCCUGAUCUCAGCUCACUGCAAGCUCCACCUCCCAGGUUCAUGCCAUUUUCCUGCCUCAGCCUCCUGAGUAGCUGGGAUUACAGGCGCCCGCCACCACGCCUGGCUAAUUUUUUGUAUUUUUAGUACAGACCAGGUUUCACCGUGUUAGCCAGGAUGGUCUCGAUCUCUUGACCUUGUGAUCCACCUGCCUCGGCCUCCCAAAGUGUUGGAAUUAUAGGCUUGAGCCACCACGCACAGCUGACAUUUCCACUUUUGUCUUUUGGCCCAGAUGUUGACAUUUUCUGAGCUCCCAAAGAAUUUACAGACAUUUUUCCUAGGUCAGAGUAAAAGGGAUCCCCUUUGUUCUGGAUCUUCUCUUGCCUUGAUCAUCAGAUCAAGUUGAGGAAAUGGUCCCUUGGGAAGCUAAUCCCAGUGGCUUGGUAAACUUACACCCUUUCUUUUGAUGUCAGGCCUUUUAAAACAUCAGGGCCACUUUCCUUUACUUGUCCAGGAUGGAAACAUUUGGCAGCACUUUUUGCAGUAUCCUUCCAUUCAACAGCCACAUGCCCCAGCUGAGGGCUUGGCACCAUGGAAAAGCAAUGAAGAUUCAAGAACGAACCAGCUUAGCACAGGUGAUUUUUAGGGCAGUGAGACUAUUCUAUGUGACACUGUAAUGGUGGAUCCAAUGGUGGAUGGUCACAUCCAUCCACAGAAUGUGCAGCACACCAGGAGAGAAACCUACACUAUGGACUUAAGAGUAAUGUAUCAAUAUUGACUCAUCAAUUGCAACAAAUGCACUACAUUAAAGCCACGUGUUAAUAACAGAGGAAACAGGAUGGGACGAUUUGAGGGCAUAUAUGGGAACACUAUACUUUCUGCUCAUUUUUCUGUAAAGCUUAAGCUAUUCUAAAGAAUAAAGUCUAUUCAUUAAACAACAAAAAUGAAUGAGCCUUUGCCCUUACAGAAUUCACCGUCAAGAGGAAGAGGAGGCUGGGUACAGUGGCUCAUGCUUGUAAUCCCAGCACUUUGAGAGGCCAAGAUGGGCAGAUCACUUGGGCCCAGGAGUUCAAGACCAGCCUGGACAACAUAGAGAAACCCUACCUCUACAAAAAAUACAAAAAUUAGCUGGGCGUGGUGGUACAUGCCUGUAGUCCCAGCUACUCAAGAGGUUGAGGUGGGAGGAUUGAUGGAGCCCAAGAGGUUGAUGCUGCAAUGAACCAUGAUUUUGACACUGUGCUCCAGCCUGGGCAAGAGAGUGAGACCCUGUCUGGAAAAAAAAAGAGGAAGGGGAGACGAGUAGAUAAGCCGAUCAUGUCAAG